GACAGAGGGGGCAAGCGUUGUCCGGAGUUACUGGGCGUAAAGCGCGCGUAGGCGGUACGGUAAGUAAGGUGUGAAAGCCCCAGGCUUAACCUGGGGAGGUCAUCUUCGACUGCCGCACUCGAGUCGUGCAGAGGGUGGUGGAAUUGCCGGUGUAGUGGUGAAAGUGCGUAGAGAUCGGGAGGAACACCUGUGGCGAAGGCGGCCGUCUGGGCCGACCCUGACGCUGAGG
rnacentral:rRNA from 1 species